GAGGAAUUGGACUGAUAGAGCUAUAGAGGUAUUUUGUAAUUAUCAGAGCCCAGGACUCCUAUAGAAACAGGUAAGUUCACUUAUUUAAGUCUCUGGGCCAGGAAACUGCCAUUGCAGCAAGUGGCUUCUGGUUUAUGAUUCUAGCAGAGAAACAGCAAUGGUGACUUUCUAAGAAAACGUAAGUGACACUACUCGGGUGGGUAAAGGUAGGAAAAAAGUCGUAGUCAAGGUCAGACUUAUGAUUCCUACAUUCUCAAAGUAAAGGCUAGAAACCCUUGGCAUAAAUUGAUCUUGCCAUUGGCAUCUAUAAAUGGGACUAGAACUAACUUUUGAAUUCUGUUCACUUUGAAAGAAUGUUGCUGAAGAAAAUACAAGAGUACUGUAUUCCUUAUAUGGAGUCGUCGAGCACAGCGGUACCAUGAGGUCAGGGCAUUAUACUGCCUAUGCCAAGGCCAGAGCUGCAAAUAGUCAUCUCUCUAAUCUUGUUCUCCACAGUGAUAUUCCACAAGAUUUUGAAAUGCAGUCAACCAAAGGGCAGUGGUUUCACAUCAGUGAUACACACGUGCAACCUGUGCCUACAGCUAAAGUUCUGAACUCACAAGCGUACCUCCUGUUUUAUGAGAGAGUAUUGUAAUAGUUCCAAAGAGUGCUUUCUCCAGAAACAAGCUUAUGGCUUUUAAAAUGGCUGUAAUUAAUAAUAAUAAUAAAGAAGUAAAGACUAACUGUAAAA